UACGUAGGGUGCGAGCGUUAUCCGGAUUUAUUGGGCAUAAAGCGCGUGUAGGCGGUAACUUAAGUCAGAUGUUAAAUCCCCCGGCUCAACCGGGGCCCGCAUUUGAAACUGGGUUGCUAGAGAUCAGGAGAGGAAAGCGGAACUCACGGUGUAGCGGUGAAAUGCGUAGAUAUCGUGAGGAACACCAGUUGCGAAGGCGGCUUUCUGGACUGAAUCUGACGCUGAGACGCGAAAGCGUGGGGAGCAAACGGGAUUAGAUACCCGAGUAGU
rnacentral:rRNA from 1 species